UUCAUCGACAGGUUCCAGAGUUCCUGCUCCAGUUUCUGGAUCUCGCCCCUCGGGCAGUAUUCCUCAGUCAUGAGGUCUUUCAUUGUUUCCCAGCCCAUGUCGUUGGCUACGACGAGAGUUAGGGCUUUGACGUGGCCGUUCCACCACGUUAGGGCUUUACCCUCAAAGGUGCAGGCGGCAUAUUUCACCUUGCACGCAGCAGGGCAUGAACAGAUUUCGAAGACUGAUUCAGUCUUCUCGAACCAUUGCGAGAGGGCAAUGACUCCGCCAGUGCCAUAGAAAGGCUUCGGCUUGCAGUUUGUGAAAUCCUUGUAGGAGCACUCUCUCGAGCGCACAGGGAUUUUGACCGGAAUAGAUUCAACAGGGGUUCCACCUCUGCUGGCGUCGGAUGAGUGAUACUGAGUCAUGGCAGUUGCCACUGCUGCAGCUACGGCAGCAUUCAGGGCUGCAGUAUCGAUGACCGGAGGCGGAGGAGGUGGUGGAGGUGCAGGAUUAUUCCUAUUCCUGGGAGACUUGCGANGGUGGAGGCGGUGGAGGUGCAGGGUUAUUCCUGGGAGAUUUGCGAGGAGGCAUCUUUCAGCUAUAAGUUUAUAAAGAUAAGAAAAAUUGGUAAGAAUCAAUUUGUAAGCAACGUGAGAGUGACACAUGGACUAACUAACCAUAGCCCAACAGUUAAAUGGGUGUUUGAAAACAUAGCAAGGAAUAUUAGUAGGAAAACACAAGUGUAUAGAUUUUUCCCACAUAUUAGAUAGAUGUCAAUCAUACUGGUAUUACCGAUGUAAUAAGUUCCGGGAAAAUCGACCUAACAGUAGGUC
rnacentral:lncRNA from 1 species